GGGAGACCAUUUUUGUUUUCUGCAGAAGAAGUUGAUGGGGCUUUGGGAUUAAGUUCCUCCCAGAGAUACUGGGCGUGGUGAGGAAAGUGUAGGAGAAAACCUGAGCACUUGGAGGGAAAUCCCAUGGUCAAGGGGAAAGCAUGCAAACUCUGAACAGACAAUGUGGAAUUAAACCUGGGUUGCUGAUGCAGUAAUAGUGUUACACUAACUGCAAUGCUACUGUGAGCUCAACAUCUGGAGAGAGGAAGUGCAAGUGGUGAAGAUGGAAGAGGUCAGGAGAUGAAAUCUACGUCUACUCCACCAGGUGCAGGGAAUACCAGGGCGGAAGGAGUGAAGGUGCCACCAAACCCCCGGAGCAUGUUAAUCACUGAACAACACCCCCUGCUGUUCAAAUCCACUGAGAAAAUGCCUGAGCAGUGGAAAGUAGUUGGCAAGAAGGGCACCAAGAAAGCCUUGCCCAUAUUAACAGGCAAGAGAAGAUCUAAAAGCGCAGGGGAAUUAUUCCAUGUAGAUCUGUGGUGAUGAAAAAUAUUCAUUCCAACAUCAGCAUCUCCUCUAAGGCGGUGAGUGUCACAAACUCACUUGGGAAAAAUAUAUUUGAGUUGUACAUCAGCCCUCGGGAGAUCCAGACUGCUAUAUGCCAGCUAUUGCCCAGGGAACUGGUAGAGCACGCCAUAUUGGAAGAGGCUAAGCACACAAGCUUCACAAAGCAAACUGAAAACACAACAACGUUACGUGAAACAAAACAAUAAAAUAGAAAUCACUGAUCAACACUCAGGAACGGCCCCUAGAUCACACAAUCCUCCAUUAAUCAGCUGCUCAGGAUGAACUUUGACUAGGAUCCUUGCAUCCCUUUCCAGAUCUUCCUUGCAAACACACAGCCUACAAUGAGUAGGCUGAGCAUCUCAUUCCAAAUCAGACCCGUUGGUGAGAGACCUUCUUUGUUGGUCAUUCUCUCUACUCCCCUCACCCUCCUCCCCACCCCCGACCCCCAUCAGGUAGAAGAUACAAAACGUGUUGGUUUUACAGAGCAAGGAAAUGCCUGUAAGUGAGUAAAUUCUGAGGGAUGCACUAAUGCUUGUUGAAUCCAAUGCAACAGCUCUGUGAGGAAACACUACAGUCUAAGGUCUUGCUGCCACUACAGAUUGAGGGCAAAAGCCUUGUAUAACAGCCUCUCAAAUACUGUAAUUUUUGUAAUGCCCAAAUGUACAGAAAUGAUAACACAAUGAAUAUAUCAACUGAAUAACACUAUGAAUGUAAUUCAUAGUAAUUGCUAUGCCUGUGACUACAAGAAACUGCAGAGAGUUAUGAAACUGGCUUAGCACAUUAUGGAAACCAACCUCCCCUCCAUAGAUGGUUGCUGGUCUUUGGAAAGCAGCCAGCAUAAUCAAGAACCCCUCCCACACUGGUCAUUCUCUCUUCUCCCUCCUCCCAUCAGGUAGAAGAUCCAGAAGCCUGAAAUCACGUACAACUGGGCUGAAGGACAGCUUCGAACUUGCUGUUAGCAUACUAUUAACUGGUUCCCUAGUAUGGUUAGCUGGACUCUUGAUCUCACAAUCUGCAGUACACCUUACUGUUUACUUGCACUGCACUUUCUCUGUUGCUGUCCCACUUCAUUCUACAUCCGGUUAUUGUUUAACCUUGUACUAUCUCAAUGUACUGUGUAACAAACUGAUCUGUACGAGUAGUGUGCACGACAAGCUUUUUGCUGUGUCUCAUUAUAUGUAACAGUAAUA